CGGUCACCUGCGGCCGGGGCGGCCCCGCUCCGCUCCGCCGGCCCCGCCGGGGCGGCCGCGGCGUCACCGGGAACGGCCGGGAAAAGCCGGAGAAACAAAGAACAUGGCGAGGGGAGGAGGAGCUUACGCCGCCUUAACCGCUGGGAAGGGCGCUCCGGGGGCGUACAAUGCCCGCCGCGGGGCGGGUUCGCUUCCCUCCGCCCCCUUUCCCCGCCCUUGUGGCCGGGCUGGCGGGGGGCUGGGGCGGAACGGGAUGGGACGGGCUGAACUGGACUGGAUUGGAGGUGGCCGUCGGGAGCGGGUCCGCUGUCUGCCGCAAGUUUCGCCCAGAGUGGGAAAGUUGGGCGGGAUCCGUCCAGGCUCAACUUCAGGACAUGCAAGAGUACUUUGGAGUGAACUGGCAGUAAGCCUUGCAGUACCAUGGUGGCAAUAAUACUGGCUGUCCUCUGGAGAUGCUGAAGCUUUGAACUUCUUUAUUAGACCCUCCAACUUGUUCACAAAGGACUUAAAACUGAUUUGGAUUCAUAUGGUCAUGGGUAUGGAUUUUUUCCUCCCAUUUCCUGACAUCUGUGUGUUUCCAGCAGUCAGUGAUGAAGUCAGUGCUAGGUCUGCUGACAUUUGGUCUGUUCUGGGGAGCUCUGAGUGACAGGUACUGUAAACAUCCUACACUCUCAGCUGUGGAAACUAAGAAAGCUGGGAGAAGGCUGUUUACUCUCCCUGCCUUGGAAAUCAUCUGGAGGGCAAGGAUGGAAUAUUCUGUUGAUUGUAUUUCUGACAGCUUGUAUUUCAUACUUUACAUUAUGGUGUCAGUAAACAAAUUCUGUCAUUACAUCACAUCAUCAAUGUCUUGUGUUCAGACCAAGGUCAGAAGGACAUUGUCAUAUUCUUCAGCUGUACUGCUGGCUUGAGGGAAGCUUAAAUAGUGCAAUAAUACACUGCAGUACUUCCAUCCUUAAGCAGUGAUUAAAAAAGACCUGUCACACUGUUUGUUUGAAGGUAGUGAUACAUAGAAGUUGCAGUGUGGACAUUCUCAAACUGACACAUCAGUAUUGUAUUUAAUCAAAAUCACCCUUAAAUGGUUGGGGCUUUUUUCUAAGAUCUACUCAAUUCUUGUUUUCUACCCAAAAGAGCUAGAAACAGAGGUUGGAAGGCAAAAAGAUUGUAGGGGAAUUAAAAUUUCAGUUUCUUUUAGAAGAAAAUCAGAGGUGUUAACAUGAACUCCAGCUCUAAAUUAAAUUAGAAUACAAAGGUCUUAUACCUCAUGUUUUCCACUUGAUGUUCCCUACCACUUG
rnacentral:lncRNA from 1 species